CUCACACAUUGCUCACUCCAAAUAUUGUUGUUACUGAUUUCUGUACUUCUGGUCUUGGCUUGCUCCAAAGACCAGAAGAAAAAUAAUCUACAUAAUAUCUUGUUCUUUUCCUCACUUCUCUAUCAAAUCAAAAAAAGAAACAAAGAUAAAACGGAUACCAAUGUAACUCUUACCUGACAUGACAACCCUUCAAAGAAUCAGCACAAUUUAAAAGAUUAGAAUCAUUCCUUUCAUGGAAGCUCUUACAGGUUGAGGUUGUGCUCAAAAUAAAAGAAACAACCUAAAGAUUAAUGUAAAAUACGUUUUGAAGGAAGAGAGAAAAAGAAGGAGAAACAAGAAGAGGAGAAAGAGAAGGAAGGAAACGGGGGAAACAGGAAGAGGAGGACAAAGAGGCAAGAGGAAAAACAAGAACUAUUACUGCUACUGCUCGAUGAAACUGCUCUAUGCAUCUUAUCAAUUACACUUCAUGGUAUGACCAUCCCAUCCAGUUGUUCACAUGGGAAACUCAGGGGCCAUGCUUUGGUGCGUGUCUUCCCUACUCCUGCCUCUGUUUCAACUGGCCUAACAUCAAGUCCUGUUAGCAACUUAAUGGAAAGGUCACUUGCAGGAAUUAUUAUUCCUAUCUUACAAAAGAAAAAACUGGACUCAGAGGUUAAGUAAAUUGGAGAAACACACAGAUACUAGACAACAGAGCCUAAAGACUGAGCUUUCUAAUUCUAAGUUGCAACUGUUCAAGGUAAGUUUAAAUUUGGUUUCAGAGCAACUCUAGAAGAAGGAGCCUUCAACAAACCUUUUCCCUCCCACUUGAACUUUAAAGUCUCUAUACACCAGAAAAACUCACAAAUGGAAACAGGUAUGAUGUCUGAAAAUAUGACUUUUUUUCCUUUCUCUCUUUUCAAUAUUUUCUGUGUUGUCAAUAUAUCAACUUUAUAUUGAAGAAUACAAUUAAAAUUAUAAAAAAACAAGGCGGGCUAGUCUGAAAAAGUAAAAGCUAAAAAGUCUGCGUAACUGAAAUCUAUAAAAUCUUCAGUGGGGCAUGUUGGCACAUGCCUGUACAGUAAUCCCAGUAUUUUGGAAGGCUGAGGCGGGUGGAUCAC